UUAAGUCCCGCAACGAGCGCAACCCCUAUUGUUAGUUGCCAUCAUUCAGUUGGGCACUCUAGCGAGACUGCCGGUAAUAAACCGGAGGAAGGUGGGGAUGACGUCAAAUCAUCAUGCCCCUUAUGACCUGGGCUACACACGCGCUACAAUGGCUGGUACAACGAGUCGCAAGUCGGUGACGACAAGCUAAUCUCUUAAAGCCAGUCUCAGUUCGGAUUGUAGGCUGCAACUCGCCUACAUGAAGUCGGAAUCGCUAGUAAUCGCGGAUCAGCACGCCGCGGUCGAAUACGUUCCCGGGCCUU
rnacentral:rRNA from 1 species